rnacentral:rRNA from 1 species
UACGUAGGGACCGAGCGUUGUCCGGAAUCAUUGGGCGUAAAGAGCUCGUAGGCGGUUUGUCGCGUCUGCUGUGAAAACUCGGGGCUUAACUCCGAGCUUGCAGUGGGUACGGGCAGACUAGAGUGCGGUAGGGGAGACUGGAAUUCCUGGUGUAGCGGUGGAAUGCGCAGAUAUCAGGAGGAACACCGGUGGCGAAGGCGGGGUCUCUGGGCCGUAACUGACGCUGAGGAGCGAAAGCAUGGGGAGCGAACAGG